rnacentral:rRNA from 1 species
AACGAACGCUGGCGGCAUGCCUAACACAUGCAAGUCGAACGAGACCUUCGGGUCUAGUGGCGCAAGGGUGCGUAACGCGUGGGAACCUGCCCUUAGGUUCGGAAUAACUCCCCGAAAGGGGUGCUAAUACCGGAUAAUGUCUUCGGACCAAAGAUUUAUCGCCUUUGGGUGGGGCCGCGUUGGAUUAGCUAGUUGGUAGGGUAAAAGCCUACAAAGGCGACGAUCCAUAGCUGGUUUGAGAGGAUGAUCAGCAACACUGGGACUGAGACACGGCCCCGACUCCUACGGGAGGCAGCAGUGGGGAAUAUUGGACAAUGGGCGAAAGCAUGAUCCAGCAAUGCCGCGUGAGUGAUGAAGGCCUGAGGGUUGUAAAGCUCUUUUACCCGGGAUGAUAAUGACAGUACCGGGAGAAUAAGCGACGGCUAACUACGUG